GAUGAACGCUUUCUUCUUUCCUAAUACAUGCAAGUCGAGCGAACGGACGAGAAGCUUGCUUCUCUGAUGUUAGCGGCGGACGGGUGAGUAACACGUGGAUAACCUACCUAUAAGACUGGGAUAACUUCGGGAAACCGGAGCUAAUACCGGAUAAUAUUUUGAACCGCAUGGUUCAAAAGUGAAAGACGGUCUUGCUGUCACUUAUAGAUGGAUCCGCGCUGCAUUAGCUAGUUGGUAAGGUAACGGCUUACCAAGGCAACGAUGCAUAGCCGACCUGAGAGGGUGAUCGGCCACACUGGAACUGAGACACGGUCCAGACUCCUACGGGAGGCAGCAGUAGGGAAUCUUCCGCAAUGGGCGAAAGCCUGACGGAGCAACGCCGCGUGAGUGAUGAAGGUCUUCGGAUCGUAAAACUCUGUUAUUAGGGAAGAACAUAUGUGUAAGUAACUGUGCACAUCUUGACGGUACCUAAUCAGAAAGCCAAGGCUAACUACGGG
rnacentral:rRNA from 1 species